rnacentral:rRNA from 1 species
AUUUUACGUCCCUGCCCUUUGUACACACCGCCCGUCGCUACUACCGAUUGAUGGCUCAGUGAGGCGUCCGGACUGGCCCAGAGAGGCGGGCAACUGCCACUCAGGGCCGGAAAGCUCUCCAAACUCGGUCAUUUAGAGGAAGUAAAAGUCGUAACAAGGUCUCCGUUGGUGAACCAGCGGAGGGAUCAUUAC